rnacentral:rRNA from 1 species
AUGGCUGGCGGCGACUGUGAGUCGCAGAUGUUCGCCAACGUGCCUGAGGGGUUCGUCAAACUCCUCUCCUUCAUCGUUCAGGUCGCGAUGGGGCCAUCCGUGCGCCCAGUCUUCACACUUUAUCCACACAAGAUCAACGACAGUCUGACCAUGCACCAGGCCGCGGUGCAAUUCAGGGGAGGGCACGCUGAGAUACGUCGCUUCCGGUUCUUGGGGAGAGCCAUGCCUACUGAAAGGCAUGCUAUGCAGAUGGCUGCCCGCGAGGCGAUAGCUCGUCUUCGGGAUGUCCUUCCUGCAAUGAAGACCCGUCGCUACCACUACCUUCUAUGCCAUGUACCAUACACCUGUCACUACUCAUUCUCUUGCCCUAGAGGAGAGCGAGACGAGGCCUUUGAGAUGCUUGUCGAGUACCUCCGAGCCCUGGAGGCAGCCUUCGACAGCAUGGUGGACGACCUCGUAGCUGCCCGCAUGGACUCCGUCCAUGGCUGUGCCGCCAACAGGAGGGAACUCCUGCACACCGCUCCACCGCUGACGUUCAUCUCGUCCUCAGCUUCUCAUUCACCUACCAUUCUCGCCACUGCUCGUUGUCUGACUACCACUGAGGAAUUUAACCAAGCUAUUGCACCCACUCCCAUUCGCGCUGCACCACUCAUUGCACCCACUCCCAUACGUGCUACUCCACCUAUUCCGCCCACUCAUAUUCGUAUUGCUCCGCCUAUGGCACCUGCUCCAUUAGCUCAGCGCAGCGUUCCUCGUCUGGAACCUAUUAGCGAGGAGGAGGUUGAUUCCCCAGCGUCACUGCGUCUCACCCUCGGCAGGCCAAGGGAGAUCCUCACCAUCUCUGACUGA